CGCUCUCCGUGAGGGGGACGGGACAGCGGGGGUGGCGGGAGCCGGGCGGCACCUCAGUGGAGACAGACCGCGGGGCCGAGCGCCGGGGCUCCCGGGCUGCCCCCGCCACCGCCCUCCCCACCAGCUGACAUUUGCCAUGCGCAGACAGCACGCACUUCACCAAACAAUUCGGCUCGAGCCCCGCUGUAAACUGGCUGGGUUAUUUUUCUCCUCGUUCUCCGCUUGUUUAUGGCUGACGCUAUCUCGCCUGCACCGCUCCCUCGGUUUCAUUAUCUCUUCUCGCAGAUGGACCGUGGCUUUCCUCCUUCACAGCGUUUCUCUCUGCUGGUGCUGUAGCUCCCUCUCCUCUCCCCAGCUCUGCAUCCCUCACCUUUGCUCACAGGUGAGCCUUCCCCAGCAAAGCACUUCACUCCAGCCGUCCUUCCUCCUGCAAUCCUUUCUCCUCUGAAGACCACAGCAUCCUGUAAAAUAAAGCCAAUGGCGCUGGUGUAUUAAUAGUAAUAUCGUGGCCAGCAGGACCAGGGCAGUGACCAUACCCUGUGCUGGGGCACCUCCAAUCCUGGGGAUGAUAAAUUUAUUUAAUCUGCUGGAUUAAAGAAGUGCAACAGUUUCCAAGGAUUCAAAGGCAAGAAGAGCACAAGGGUUACCUUUGACAUCUGUUCCAUAUGAACCCAUGGAAGCUGAGUAAAUGGGUGGUGCAUUCUCACUUCCUUGCAGUGGCCAGAUUUCUAGGAAGAAGAGAAUUGCUGGGGCAUUUCUGUGACCUGAUCCCUCGUCUUGGUUGAUCCGUGGUGGAAAGGUGACCCCAGGCACAGCUGAGGGGGAAUGGAUCUGGUGAGAGCCAUCGGUGUGAGCCAAGCAGAGUGUUCCCAACUGCAUCCCUGAAUAGAUUCACUUGCUCUUUCCCUGGCUCUAUUUUAGCCACAAAUCUGUUAUUCUGCCCUGUGGGUGCCAACAGGUUUUUAAAAAAUAACCAAACUCAGUAAUACUGGAUUUCUGGUGCACUUUUUUUUUCCCCAAAAGGGUUGAAGUGAACAUUCUUCUCACCUAUACCUAGGACUUCACCUGUGUGGUUGCAAAGGCAACCACAAAAAGAUACAUGAUUCUUGCUCCUUCAGUGGAGCAGAUAUAUCUCAGCAACUUAGCAAUGUUGUGAUAAGUAUGAAGUGGAAGGCAUUGAAAAACUAUUAUAUCAAUUUUUAGUUUGUAUUUAAGACCAUUUCUACACACUUUUGUGUUCUCAAGCUUGGAAAAAAUUCACUUUUGUCUACAAACACAGGAACCAGUUGUUACUUCAAAUUUUUGUUGCGAUGGUAGAAUUGAAACUUGGAUGAAACAAGGAUUCAUAUGGGGAAAUUUAUAGAAUCAAACAGUCAUUGAAUGAUUUGGGUUGGAAGGGGCUUUAAAGAUCAUUUACUUCCAACCCCCUGCUGUGGCAGGGACAUGUUCCACUGGACCAGGUUGAAUGUGAAAGCAAACAGCUUCCAAAAACUCAUGUUUAAAACUGAGCAUGAAUGCAUGUUUGUGCCAUGUGCUUUGUUCUGUUUCCAAAGGAAACAAAAGAAGAAAAUGUUGCUGAGAAUACUAAAACAUAACACUUUGGCAGCAGUGGUUAUCACAUCCUCCAGGCAUUUUUACCUGUGGUGCUGCUGCCCUGACAAUAGUGGUGCAUUGUGGAAAUAAAGUGUGAAGUCACUCAGGAUUGGGUCCUGCUGGUUGUGGGUGAGGCAUGUACGUAAAUACCUUUUGACAGA